rnacentral:lncRNA from 1 species
GGGUUCAAGGAUCAUGUGAGGUUGGUGUCUUUGCAUGUCUAAAUUACCUUGGAAGUGAGGUAACCUUGUUGUCACUUACAUAUCUGUAACUCCUUUCUUAUGCAUUUUUUAUAUUAACUAUAUGGAGAUUUGAACUGUAUUCUCAAUUGCAUGAAGGGCAUAACUCAUGCUAUCAAAUGUAAACCUGUCUGGUCUGAUUGAGUUAUCUGAGUUGCAUUUAUAAUGCAUGGAAACAUAAUUUAUAGCAUUAUUACAA